UAUAAGAACUCCAAGUGCUCCACCUAUAAUGGAAAUUGGACAAGAAGAUAACAUCAGCUUGGAAAUUGAGAAUGAAAUUGAGCAGAUUGAAGAUGAGAUUUGCAAAGUAGGAAACAUAGCGAAUCAUAGAGAUGCAGAAUUUGGAGAAAGUGUGAAGGAGACUAAAACUAUGGAAGAUGCAAAAAUCGCAGAAGUUUGCUCCGAUGAAUUAGAUUGCCAUAGUAUCAGUGGUCAAUAUGCUUGGCAAAG